rnacentral:rRNA from 1 species
CAGCCGCCGCGGUAAUACGAAGGGGGCUAGCGUUGUUCGGAUUUACUGGGCGUAAAGGGCGCGUAGGCGGACUGAUAAGUCAGGGGUGAAAUCCCAAGGCUCAACCUUGGAACUGCCUUUGAUACUGUUCGUCUUGAGUUCGAGAGAGGUAAGUGGAACUGCGAGUGUAGAGGUGAAAUUCGUAGAUAUUCGCAAGAACACCAGUGGCGAAGGCGGCUUACUGGCUCGAAACUGACGCUGAGGCGCGAAAGCGUGGGGAGCAAACAGGAUUAGAUACCCCGGUAGUCCCUGUCUCUUAUAC